AUGGCGAAUUGCAGGCUCGGCGGAUUUUUACUGAUGUUUCGGACGAAACGUCCGUGCCUGCUCGGAGCCCGUCCGAUCAAGGCCUGGCUGCCCUUCGCGGCCCGUCGGAAGGCCAGGCGGCACCUCGGAAAGCCUGCUGCUCCCGGGCCUUGGCGGGACGCGGCCAGGUGCAACGAGCGGGCCGGGCAGGGCUGCGGAGCGGCAGCGCAGCCGCCGAGCCCCGCCCGCUCCGCACAGCCCGGGCGCGCCUUCCCCGCGCUGCCCUCGGCCCGCUCCGGGCGGCGGCCGCGCUGCGCGGGGCCUCGCGAGCUCCGCGGGGGCGACCCGCGGGCGCGGGGCUGCCCCGCGCACGGGCGCUGGGGCCGGGCGGCUUUGCUGCGGCGCGAGGGGCUGGCGAGCCCCUGCCGCCAGCGCGGCUCUGGCUCGCCGGUUUCCCCGCUGUCUCCCCGCCACCCCUUCACUCUGCCGGGUGCCCCCCGCCCCCGGGCCCUUUGCAGACGUGUCACUGCAGAGCAGCGGCCGCAAGAAAUCGGGGCUCCCGCUGGCGGCCGCCCGCCCCGCCGGGGCCCGGCCGCCUCCGCCGGCGCUGCGGCUGCCCCGUCCCGUGCGGAUGGCCAAGCAAGAGGCGCAAAGGGCCAGAUCCUGAUCUCCACGCAACUCGGCUGGCUCCGUGGAGCUCACUCCCAGCUUUGCUCCGUCUCCGAGAUCUGUCCCUUCCCGCCCUGCAUUUUUAACUCUUUCCCUUCGAACAAAGCCGGCGACUGCCACCCCUGCCGUGUCCCUUUCCCACCAGUUGUGAACGCUGGUGAUUUCCGCCUUCCUCUCCAGCGCAAACAGACACCCACGCACCCCUGUCUUUCCCACUCGACCCGCUACCAGGGCAAAGGCAGAAGGCUUUGGAGUCUUCGCUUUGUUUUGUUUCGAAACGCUGUUUAUUUACCUCCCCCGCCUUUGAUGGAUCGCGCUCUUACUUUGGAGGGCUUGGCGGAAAUUAGCAGUUCCCCCCUAAUUAGCAAACAGCUUAUCUGCCUGGCUCGUAGGAAAUAG
rnacentral:lncRNA from 1 species